GGGUCUCAGCAAAGUGGCAGAGCCCCUGCUUGGCAUGCAGAAGGCCCCCAGGUUUGAUCCCUGGCAGCAUCU